rnacentral:rRNA from 1 species
GAUGAACGCUGGCGGCGUGCCUAAUACAUGCAAGUCGAGCGAACGGACGAGAAGCUUGCUUCUCUGAUGUUAGCGGCGGACGGGUGAGUAACACGUGGAUAACCUACCUAUAAGACUGGGAUAACUUCGGGAAACCGGAGCUAAUACCGGAUAAUAUUUUGAACCGCAUGGUUCAAAAGUGAAAGACGGUCUUGCUGUCACUUAUAGAUGGAUCCGCGCUGCAUUAGCUAGUUGGUAAGGUAACGGCUUACCAAGGCAACGAUGCAUAGCCGACCUGAGAGGGUGAUCGGCCACACUGGAACUGAGACACGGUCCAGACUCCUACGGGAGGCAGCGGUAGGGAAUCUUCCGCAAUGGGCGAAAGCCUGACGGAGCAACGCCGCGUGAGUGAUGAAGGUCUUCGGAUCGUAAAACUCUGUUAUUAGGGAAGAACAUAUGUGUAAGUAACUGUGCACAUCUUGACGGUACCUAAGCAGAAAGCCCCGGCUACCUACGU